GAAUGCAGUCAUAGACCAUUCGAUAACGAUGAUCUCAUGGACGAAAACUGUAUUUAUAAUAACACUACUUUGAAUUAUUGUAAUAAUUAUCAUUAUGUGGGAAAGAAACUGUUCCGAUUUCGCUCUACCACCUCUGCAGCUAUCGCGGUCAUUAUGAUACUUCUCUAAUCUGUUGGUACAAUUAAUAAAUAAGCUAAGUCCAUAAGACCAUAAAUUAACAUUAGAACAAAAUUAUUGUAGAUAAUAUUUACAGUCCAGCGACACAAUAGUGAUUAUUGUCUUCUUCGAUAUCUCGUUGAACAUAUUCAAAGGUUUUUUCGUUACUUGUGGAACUUUAAUAUUCCUGCUCUGGCAGAACCUAUCAGGUAAUAUUGACUUAUUUGGAAAUCAAUUUUGAAGAUAAUCAGAUCGAAAUUGAACGACGGCCAUCAAAAUCCAAGGUAAAAUAUUGAAUCAAACAUCAGUUAUUCAUCGGAAAAAGCUGGAUUAGAAGGCACGACGAUUGGGAAUCCUUACUGAUAGAUAUCACAGUUGAUAACGUCAAUGAUUUAAAACUAGACUUUGGAAGAUCGGUCACUAUAAUAACGGUAUAAUAGUUAAUGGAGAUAAGAAAUCUCGGUUUCUGAGACUGACUUUGCGUGGCGUAACUUAUAUGCAAUAUAUAGAUGAAAAUACUUUUUGAUAAAAGACCCUCGGCAACAUGGGCCAUUGGGUUGAUGGAUGCAUAUACUGUGGAGGUAAACGUCAUGUCAUUCGUAUUAAUGCUGUUAGAAAUACAGAGCAAGGAAUAUCUAGGCUAGUUCCACAAAAUAACUUGGAAAGGUAUACCAACUUAUACCUAUUAUAGGAAUGCGAUUUUUGUGUGUAAACAUCGGCUGGUGACGGGGGUCACCAACCAAAGUUAGUUUGACUCGAACCCUAUUAACUAUUACGAUUUACUCAGAGGUGACAUCUAGACUUUUACAGUUUCACAUUACUUUCGUAUACAUAUACAGCAUAUAACAUUCAUUUUUAAAGUUAAAAUACACAAUUGUAAAAAUAUUGUUCGUUAUAAAUAAAAUAUUCAAAAUAAAAAUUUAUAUCAGUAUAUCAGGCAAUUUGUGAAUUUAAAUUCCGAAAUUUUUGAAAUAAUGUUACGAUAAAAAUGCAUAUAAAAUAUAAAUGAUUAACACUAGUGAUCACUGAAGCACAGAAGUUGUGUAGGACAACCAAGGUUUUUUCUAUGACUGAUUUUAAUCAUAUAAUUUUUUUUGCAUAUUAUUUUGAUAGUUAUUUGUUACUUCAUCUAUUUUUAUUAUUUUACACAUUUUUAUUUUAAAGCUGAUAUCAUAUUUUGAUGGACAGUUCAACAGUGACAUUUUAACUUAAACUAAUUAAUAAUACAUAUUAUAAAACAUAUAAAAUAAUAGAAACAUAAAAUAUACGUUUUCCGACCGAGCGUCCUAGCUCAGAAUAUUUUUCGAUCUAGGACAAAUGGACGCGGCCUUUUGGACGCAGCCGUUUGGACGCGAGGUCAUUUAGACGCGGCCGUUUGGACGCGGGUACAUUUGGACGCGAAAAAAACAUAAAUUAUAACAAUAUUUAUUUUCCGGGUAUAGGGAAACUAUACCAUAAUCAUAAUUGAUGUUAUGGAAUUCUUUAUACCUAUAUCAUAUACUUAUAUAUUAUAUCUAUAUAACAUUAUACUUUUAUCACGAUAUUAGGGAUUAUUCGACGUUAUCGAAAAACGUUAUCGAGAAAUUACGAUUAAAAUCCACUCGUAACCAACGAAAACUUUAGUUGACCGAAAGCAGUGGUUAGAUCUACGUUACUUUUAUAAUAUAACAGCGAUUUAUUUAAACACAAUAUAUAUAAUAUUUGAAGUAGUUAUGGCAUUAAUGAAGUCAAAUCGUAAUGAAUGCAUUUUUACUGAAAAUGGUUUUAUAUAUUUAUUUGACAAACUAAAAAAAAUAUAUUGAUGUUGAUAAAAGGAUUUUAAAAAUUGUUCAAAAUUAUGAACAGAGUGGAAUUUUGUCAUUUUUGAGAGGGAUAGCCCAAAAUAUUUCUGUACAGUAACUUAGUAAUUAUUACAUUUUUAAUUGUAUUGUAAUUUGUAUUUUUUAAUAACUGUUUUAGAUUUUUAAUUGUAUUAUAUGUAUACCCUAAUAUAAAAUUACGAAUAAAAUAAAUAUAUUAUAAUUUAUGUUUUUUUCGCGUCCAAAUGUACCCGCGCCCAAACGGCCGCGUCUAAAUGACCUCGCGUCCAAAUGGCUGCGUCCAAACGGCCGCGUCCAUUUGUCCCUGUUCGAAUAUUUUUUGAUAUGCAAUGAUUUAUCAUUUCAUUUAAGUUUAAUACUUAAAUUAAUACUUAAUAUUACAGUGGCUUUAUACUUGAUUAUGACUGACGAGGGAAAUUCACAACUUUUUUACAGCAGAGUGGUUAUAGGUGCCUAUAUUUUUUCACCAAUCAAUAUUUCACUUUAAUAUUAUAAUGUUCUUUUGGUUGUAUUCUUCAAAUAAUAUCUCAUAUUUUCUUAACAUGAUAGAAUAUAUUACAAAAAAAUAUAAAAAAAUUUAUUUCUCUUAACGAAAUUCACUAAGUGUAUUUUCUUGUUUACAAUUAUUUUAAACGUAACAUUUAACAGUGCUUAUUUAGUUCAAAUAAUUAUUAUAAAUGAAUGAUAAAUAGGUUCUGUCGAAUUUGAUUUCAUUUCGGUGGGUAAAUAUAUGAAUGCUCCACCAACUGCACUAUUAUUGCAGACAUGAAAUCUUGUAUAAUUGUAAUCAGUGCAUUGGAAACAUUACAUUAUUACAAUAUUCAAACAAUGAUGAGAUUUAAAUUGGAGACAAAGCACAACGGAUCAGCCAUAGAGCUAAGCAAGGAACAUGGAUCCGUGGAAACUGAAAAUUGUUCAGGGUUCUGCGGUGCAGGACUCCACGAGCCCGACAAAGGACACUGAUGUGGUUGAGUCGUUGAGCCAGGACAAUAAUCACGAAAAGUGUCAAGUUCUCUAUAACUAUAAACCUACAAAUGUCCACCGAUUCUCUCCCCUUUGCGCCCAGUGAUGAUCCUGUUGGUCAAAUCUUGCCUCUAGUCACCGCCAAUUCCUCAGCACUAAUAAUUAUAGCUGUCUUCGCUCGCUCAAUAUUUUUGAUCAUCAUUUCCUUCAUCCAAUAGUCGUCUUCAGCACUUGCGCAUCAUCGACAUACACUAGACGCUCUCCGACAACAGUCUUGUCACUCCCUCGUCCGUCGAGGUUGUAACAAUAGACUUUUUAGUUUUUAUCGAUUAAUAUAUCAUUAACAGACAAAAUGUGUUAAAUAUUUACUGUUAAUACGAUAAAAAUCGAUUAUUGGUAAUAA